GCCGCAGAAAUUUAACUGUGCUAAGGUAGCAUAAUCAUUAGCUCUUUAAUUAAGAGCUCGUAUGAAAGGUUAAACAUUAUAUAUACUAUAACCUUUUUAAUAAAUCAAAAUUUAAUUAAGAAUCAAAAUGUUCUUAUUAUAUAAAUAGACGAUAAGACCCUAUUGAACUUUACUUUAGUUUAACUGGGGCAGUUAACUAAUAAUAAUCUUAAUUAACCUCUUUUUAUAAAAAUCCAAUCUAUUUGAAUUUGAAUAAGUUACCAUAGGGAUAACAGCGUAAUUUGUUUCUAAAGUUCUUAUUUAAAAACAAGAUUGCGACCUCGAUGUUGAAUU
rnacentral:rRNA from 1 species